GCAAAAAAAAUAUUCUUUAAGUUUAGGGAAAAACAUUGUGUUUUGGGUUUAAAUAACUACGAACAUUAACACAAGUACACAUUGUUGAUUUCACACAGGAUGUGAACUCAGGUCUCCUGGGUGAAAACCCUAUGUUUAGUCGCUGUCGUGUUCUUUUAUACUUUCUUUCGGUGAUCUACC